CACCUGAAUCGCGUUAAUGACAUGUUUAUCCCGCUAUUUUCUCUGCCCCAGUCCUUUCCAUCUUCCCAAAUUCCCCAAAUUGCGUCGUCCCCAUAGUCCCGUCCACCAUAUCACCUCCAAGCGAUCCCAGCGCCACCGAUCUCCCGUGCCGCCACCACCUCCGCCGCCUCCUGGACAAGAGGCCACCACCAUUGAGCACCACUUCGGCGCGCCUGGUUGCCACCGCGACUCUGGCCUUGGAAGGUCGUCCUACUGUCCUGGAUCGGGGAGGAGGCACGAUUUGGAUCUGGGCGGCGACGGCUAAGCAAGGGCACCUGUGCUAUCGAGUAGCAUUUAAUAUGACUAAUUUGAGAUCAGCAAAGAGGAAUGGGCCUGAAGAAAUACUGAUAUUGAGCUAGGUCUGCAAGGCGAUGUAUUGAGCUCUGCGUAGCCUUUGUAUGUGUUUUUGAUUCUCUUUCUUUUUAAACAUAGCCUGUAGAUGUCCUACGGUAUAUGUUAGCACAACUACUGAAGGAUUUGCAGGUGAGCAACUGUUAUAUGAGUUUGGAUGACAGAAUAUCACUAUUACAUCAAAAUCUACGGCUUUAUAUACUUUGUCACAUACUGCCAUAUUUCAUAUAUGACGACCAUAUCAAUCACGUGUUGUUUCUUUUUCAUUCAGAGUGUACAUUGCUUCCAGUGUAACAAGAACAGAAAAUAAGAUAGUUAAAGCAUCGUGGGGACCAGGAGGCCAAGCAGUCUGUGGUGUCUCCGUCGUUGUUGCAAAGAAACAUGCCCAAACUUGGAACUUUCUCUAUCGGUUCAGGUUGGACGAGCAAGACAACAUACUGCAGACUGGGAACAAGAGUAUGUUCGUCAUCAUUGAUAUGUGUUAAUACUCUCCUUGAGAUUGAUUCCUUUGCUUUCGCAAAAAAGCGUCAGAUACAUGGCGAGCUUCAAAAUAUCAGGUUGCAAAUACCAUCGUUGCUUUGGACCUUGCCAUGGAUGGAUGGACACUAAAUGACCACAAAUGCCUCUAGAUUAUUAAUAAGCGUGGUUCUACGUUCAGUGCUUUGGGCAUCUGUUUUGUCUCGGGCUGGUUCUACGUACCUGAUUUUGCUUGGAACAGCCACAGGGGCGAGGAUGUUAUAUUGAUGCAGCUUGGUUUGCUAACUAGCAAUGUUUUGUUUCUUAGACGGACAAACUUGUAUCUCAGAACCUUGAUGAAUUGUUUCAUUUGAUCAGCUUAUGUGGAAACUACUAAUUUUCAUUGCCUCUGUA